AGAUGGCGCUGGUUACCUCGUGUCAUAUCAAAGGGCAUUUUUGUUCACAAAUACCCGCUUAUUUUACGUUAUAGCGACUGGUUCGUUUUGGAAAUUAUAACUCAAUGGACGGGGAAAAUGGUUCUGUAUUAAAGAGAAAAUGAUGUGCAGUUAUUGUGAUGUUAUUUGUUGUGAAAGACGGCCCGAAAUUUCGCUACUUCGCAGUACUGGUUUAUAAAACAUUUACAAGCAAGUAAGCAACAGCAAUUGAACUAUAUGACAAAGAAACCAAUGUAUACAAGCCAAUCAAGUUCUUCAGUUUAAAGGUCUGUUUACUUUUUAAUAAUUAGUUCAUUUAGUUGUACAUUAAUACGAAGUACUGGAACAGUACGCCUAGUCACAGAAUAGGAAGGUAUACCCAUUGAACUGCAGUCUGCAGAUUAUACUGACCGCUUACGGUAGCCAUUUUGGAGGUUGUUAAAUUCGUUCUUAAUUAAAGUUUUUUGUAACAGGUUAGCGAGAAAACAUUUCGACAAGUUUACAAGCGAGAUCUUGCUGAUUUAUGAAAAUCCUGAAAAGUUACACUGCGACGCUAUACCAUGCCCAAAAUAAGCAGUUUGUGGAAAAAUAUUGAAAGCAUGUGUGCUAUCAUACCCUGGAUUCCAGAGCCUUCGACAAUAAAUAAUAAAUUGAAACAUCGCGAAGGCUCUGGUUCAACGGGAAGAUUCUUUGAUUAAACUGCGCCAAUCACAAAACAGAAUUAGUAGUUUUAGUAAUUAGUACAGAUUCUGUACUAACAGCACUAAUUCUGUUCUGUGAUUGACACGGUUUAUAAAUCAAAGAAUCUUCCUGUUGAACCAGAGCUUUCGCAAUGUUUCAAUUCAUUAUUUACUGUCAAAGGCUUUGGAAUCCAGGGUAGUGCUAUCGUAACAAAAGAGGAACAUUUGUUUGCUUUUUGAAAUGAAAUAGAACAUAUAAUUGCUGCCGCAGCGAGCGAGCCUGAAGCGAGCGAGCAAGGCAGCAGAUCCUAAUUUUGUUUUGUGGGUCGAAAUCAAAAUUUUCUAUUUGGCGCAUUGCAUGACGGUACCAGUGAAUUUUAACCGUGGUGCAGCGCGGUCAGGCAUAAGGCAAACAGACAAUGUGAUCAUCUUUCAUCUUUGGUCUUCUUUUAUGGAAAGCCAUAGCUGGCUUAAAGUGAUCAAACAGCAUUUUGUUGNNNNNNNNNNNNNNNNNNNNCCUAAUUCACCCCCAGUCUGCAUUUUAUCCUCAGUCUGCAUUUUAUACCCCCAGUCUGCAUUUUGUACCCAGUCCGGUCUGCAGUCCGCAGUCUGCAGAUUAUACUGACCGCUUACGGUAGCCAUUAAUUUUGGAGGUUGGUAAAUUCGUUCUUAAUUAAAGUUUUUUGUAACAGGUUAGCGAGAAAACAUUUCGACAAGUUUACAAGCGAGAUCUUGCUGAUUUAUGAAAAUCCUGAAAAGUUACACUGCGACGCUAUACCAUGCCCAAAAUAAGCAGUUUGUGGAAAAAUAUUGAAAGCAUGUGUGCUAUCAUACCCUGGAUUCCAGAGCCUUCGGCAAUAAAUAAUAAAUUGAAACAUCGCGAAGGCUCUGGUUCAACGGGAAGAUUCUUUGAUUAAACUGCGCCAAUCACAAAACAGAAUUAGUGGUUUUAGUAAUUAGUACAGAUUCUGUACUAACAGCACUGCACUAAUUCUGUUCUGUGAUUGACACGGUUUAUAAAUCAAAGAAUCUUCCUGUUGAACCAGAGCUUUCGCAAUGUUUCAAUUUAUUAUUUGCUGUCAAAGGCUUUGGAAUCCAGGGUAGUGCUAUCGUAACAAAAGAGGAACAUUUGUUUGCUUUUUGAAAUGAAAUAGAACAUAUAAUUAUAUCAUUUUAAUGACUUGCUUCCGAUUUUCAGAGAGGUCUUGGAAACAUUACUAAUUGUUGAUACUUUUGAAAUAUUCAGCAACUUGCCGAUGAAAUUUUUAUAAAAUAUUGCCAUAAAAUAUAUAACAUUCUAAGGCUAUAUAUAUAUAUAUUGAUACUAUUGAUACUAUAGUGCUGUUCCAACGUACAAUAAUGUGAAAAAAAGAGAUGAAAAAGUUUUUUCAUCAAGUGAGAAAAAUUUCCGGAGAAACUUUCCAAAAUUGUUGUCGCUCCAAUAUUGUUUAGGUCCAUUUUUUAAGUAUUUUAUAAAGCGUAUGCUAUGUAUGUGCUAAGAAGCUAGUUUUGUUGGCAUGUGGAAAGCAAAAGCAGCGAAGGUAAAGAGAUUAAAAUUGGAUUUAGUGCGUAUUUUUGAAAAAAUUUUACCACCAAAUAUGGUAGUCCCCCCCGUCGAUGACACUUGUGACGUCAGGUACAUACGGGACUUUGGGGGCGGGUUUUGGCGGGAAAAUCUGUAAUGUUUGGAGAAGACAAGAUGGCGCUGGUUACCUCGUGUUAUAUCAAACGGCAUUUUUGUUCACAAAUACCCGCUUAUUUUACGUUAUAGCGACUGGUUCGUUUUGGAAAUUAUAACUGAAUGGACGGGGAAAAUGAUUCUGUAUUAAAGAGAAAGUGAUGUGCAGUUAUUGUGAUGUUAUUUGUUGUGAAAGACGGCCCGAAAUUUCGCUACUUCGCAGUACUGGUUUAUAAAACAUUUACAAGCAACAGCAAUUGAACUAUAUGACAAAGAAACCAAUGUAUACAAGCCAGUCAAGUUCUUCAGUUUAAAGGUC
rnacentral:lncRNA from 1 species